rnacentral:rRNA from 1 species
CCUACGGGAGGCAGCAGUAGGGAAUUUUCCGCAAUGGGCGAAAGCCUGACGGAGCAAUACCGCGUGAGGGAAGAAUGCCUACGGGUUGUAAACCUCUUUUUUCAGGGAGGAACAUAAUGACGUGUACCUGAAGAAUAAGCAUCGGCUAACUCCGUGCCAGCAGCCGCGGUAAGACGGAGGAUGCAAGUGUUAUCCGGAAUCACUGGGCGUAAAGCGUCUGUAGGUGGUUUAAUAAGUCAACUGUUAAAUCUUGAGGCUCAACCUCAAAAUCGCAGUCGAAACUAUUAGACUAGAGUAUAGUAGGGGUAAAGGGAAUUUCCAGUGGAGCGGUGAAAUGCGUAGAGAUUGGAAAGAACACCGAUGGCGAAAGCACUUUACUAGGCUAUUACUGACACUCAGAGACGAAAGCUAGGGUAGCAAAUGGGAUUAGAUACCCCAGUAGUCCUAGCUGUAAACUAUGGAUACUAGAUGUUGAACAGAUCGACCUGUGCAGUAUCAAAGCUAACGCGUUAAGUAUCCCGCCUGGGAAGUAUGCUCGCAAGGGUGAAACUUAAAGGAAUUGACGG